rnacentral:rRNA from 1 species
UACGUAGGGUGCAAGCGUUAAUCGGAAUUACUGGGCGUGAAGCGUGCGCAGGCGGUUGUGUAAGUCUGUCGUGAAAUCCCCGGGCUCAACCUGGGAAUUGCGAUGGAGACUGCACGGCUAGAGUGUGUCAGAGGGGGGUAGAAUUCCACGUGUAGCAGUGAAAUGCGUAGAUAUGUGGAGGAACACCGAUGGCGAAGGCAGCCCCCUGGGAUAACACUGACGCUCAUGCACGAAAGCGUGGGGAGCAAACAGGAUUAGAAACCCCUGUAGU